GAUGAACGCUGGCGGCGUGCCUAAUACAUGCAAGUCGAGCGAACGGACGAGAAGCUUGCUUUUCUGAUGUUAGCGGCGGACGGGUGAGUAACACGUGGAUAACCUACCUAUAAGUCUGGGAUAACUUCGGGAAACCGGAGCUAAUACCGGAUAAUAUUUUGAACCGCAUGGUUCAAAAGUGAAAGACGGUCUUGCUGUCACUUAUAGAUGGAUCCGCGCUGCAUUAGCUAGUUGGUAAGGUAACGGCUUACCAAGGCAACGAUGCAUAGCCGACCUGAGAGGGUGAUCGGCCACACUGGAACUGAGACACGGUCCAGACUCCUACGGGAGGCAGCAGUAGGGAAUCUUCCGCAAUGGGCGAAAGCCUGACGGAGCAACGCCGCGUGAGUGAUGAAGGUCUUCGGAUCGUAAAACUCUGUUAUUAGGGAAGAACAUAUGUGUAAGUAACUGUGCACAUCUUGACGGUACCUAAUCAGAAAGCCACGGCUAACUACGUG
rnacentral:rRNA from 1 species